GACGUAGGAUGCAAGCGUUGUUCGGAUUUAUUGGGCGUAAAGCGAGCGUAGGUGGCUAGUUAAGUCUGGUGUUAAAGCUAGGGGCUCAACCCCUGUGUUGCACUGGAAACUGGCUGGCUUGAGGAUGGUAGGGGAAGGUGGAAUUCCGAGUGUAGCGGUGAAAUGCGUAGAUAUUCGGAGGAACACCGGUGGCGAAAGCGACCUUCUGGGCCAUUUCUGACACUGAGGCUCGAAAGGCUUUGGGGAGCAAACGGG
rnacentral:rRNA from 1 species